AACGAACGCUGGCGGCGUGCUUAACACAUGCAAGUCGAGUGCGCGCCUGUAGCAAUACAGGUGGCGCACGGCGCACGGGUGCGUAACACGUGGGUAAUCUGCCCUCUGAUGGGGAAUAACCCGCCGAAAGGCGGGCUAAUUCCGCAUAAAAUUCCUUGAUCUUAUGACCGAGGACUCAAAGGCGUAAGUCGUCGGAGGAGGAGCCCGCGCACGAUUAGCUAGUUGGUAGGGUAAUGGCCUACCAAGGCUUUGAUCGUUAGCUGGUCUGAG
rnacentral:rRNA from 1 species